rnacentral:rRNA from 1 species
AGAGUUUGAUCCUGGCUCAGAUUGAACGCUGGCGGCAUGCCUUACACAUGCAAGUCGAACGGCAGCACGGGAGCAAUCCUGGUGGCGAGUGGCGAACGGGUGAGUAAUGUAUCGGAACGUGCCCAGUCGUGGGGGAUAACGCAGCGAAAGCUGUGCUAAUACCGCAUACGAUCUAAGGAUGAAAGCGGGGGAUCGCAAGACCUCGCGCGAUUGGAGCGGCCGAUAUCAGAUUAGGUAGUUGGUGGGGUAAAGGCCCACCAAGCCGACGAUCUGUAGCUGGUCUGAGAGGACGACCAGCCACACUGGAACUGAGACACGGUCCAGACUCCUACGGGAGGCAGCAGUGGGGAAUUUUGGACAAUGGGCGCAAGCCUGAUCCAGCAAUGCCGCGUGCAGGAUGAAGGCCUUCGGGUUGUAAACUGCUUUUGUACGGAACGAAACGGCGAGCUCUAAUAAAGCUUGCUAAUGACGGUACCGUAAGAAUAAGCACCGGCUAACUACGUGCCAGCAGCCGCGGUAAUACGUAGGGUGCAAGCGUUAAUCGGAAUUACUGGGCGUAAAGCGUGCGCAGGCGGUUAUAUAAGACAGAUGUGAAAUCCCCGGGCUCAACCUGGGACCUGCAUUUGUGACUGUAUAGCUAGAGUACGGUAGAGGGGGAUGGAAUUCCGCGUGUAGCAGUGAAAUGCGUAGAUAUGCGGAGGAACACCGAUGGCGAAGGCAAUCCCCUGGACCUGUACUGACGCUCAUGCACGAAAGCGUGGGGAGCAAACAGGAUUAGAUACCCUGGUAGUC